GGGUUGUGAGGUUAAGCGACUAAGCGUACACGGUGGAUGCCCUGGCAGUCAGAGGCGAUGAAGGGCGUGCUAAUCUGCGAUAAGCGCCGGUAAGGUGAUAUGAACCGUUAUAACCGGCGAUACCCGAAUGGGGAAACCCAGUGUGACUCGUCACACUAUCAUUAACUGAAUCCAUAGGUUAAUGAGGCGAACCGGGGGAACUGAAACAUCUAAGUACCCCGAGGAAAAGAAAUCAACCGAGAUUCCCCCAGUAGCGGCGAGCGAACGGGGAGGAGCCCAGAGCCUGAAUCAGCAUGUGUGUUAGUGGAAGCGUCUGGAAAGGCGCGCGAUACAGGGUGACAGCCCCGUACACAAAAGCGCAUGUGCUGUGAGCUCGAUGAGUAGGGCGGGACACGUGGUAUCCUGUCUGAAUAUGGGGGGACCAUCCUCCAAGGCUAAAUACUCCUGACUGACCGAUAGUGAACCAGUACCGUGAGGGAAAGGCGAAAAGAACCCCGGCGAGGGGAGUGAAAAAGAACCUGAAACCGUGUACGUACAAGCAGUGGGAGCACCCUUUGGGUGUGACUGCGUACCUUUUGUAUAAUGGGUCAGCGACUUAUAUUCUGUAGCAAGGUUAACCGAAUAGGGGAGCCGGAGGGAAACCGAGUCUUAAUUGGGCGUUAAGUUGCAGGGUAUAGACCCGAAACCCGGUGAUCUAGCCAUGGGCAGGUUGAAGGUUGGGUAACACUAACUGGAGGACCGAACCGACUAAUGUUGAAAAAUUAGCGGAUGACCUGUGGCUGGGGGUGAAAGGCCAAUCAAACCGGGAGAUAGCUGGUUCUCCCCGAAAGCUAUUUAGGUAGCGCCUCGUGAAUUCAUCUCCGGGGGUAGAGCACUGUUUCGGCUAGGGGGCCAUCCCGGCUUACCAACCCGAUGCAAACUGCGAAUACCGGAGAAUGUUAUCACGGGAGACACACGGCGGGUGCUAACGUCCGUCGUGAAGAGGGAAACAACCCAGACCGCCAGCUAAGGUCCCAAAGUCAUGGUUAAGUGGGAAACGAUGUGGGAAGGCCCAGACAGCCAGGAUGUUGGCUUAGAAGCAGCCAUCAUUUAAAGAAAGCGUAAUAGCUCACUGGUCGAGUCGGCCUGCGCGGAAGAUGUAACGGGGCUAAACCAUGCACCGAAGCUGCGGCAGCGACACUGUGUGUUGUUGGGUAGGGGAGCGUUCUGUAAGCCUGCGAAGGUGGCCUGUGAGGGUUGCUGGAGGUAUCAGAAGUGCGAAUGCUGACAUAAGUAACGAUAAAGCGGGUGAAAAGCCCGCUCGCCGGAAGACCAAGGGUUCCUGUCCAACGUUAAUCGGGGCAGGGUGAGUCGACCCCUAAGGCGAGGCCGAAAGGCGUAGUCGAUGGGAAACGGGUUAAUAUUCCCGUACUUGGUGUUACUGCGAAGGGGGGACGGAGAAGGCUAUGUUGGCCGGGCGACGGUUGUCCCGGUUUAAGCGUGUAGGCUGGUUUUCCAGGCAAAUCCGGAAAAUCAAGGCUGAGGCGUGAUGACGAGGCACUACGGUGCUGAAGCAACAAAUGCCCUGCUUCCAGGAAAAGCCUCUAAGCAUCAGGUAACAUCAAAUCGUACCCCAAACCGACACAGGUGGUCAGGUAGAGAAUACCAAGGCGCUUGAGAGAACUCGGGUGAAGGAACUAGGCAAAAUGGUGCCGUAACUUCGGGAGAAGGCACGCUGACACGUAGGUGAAGUGAUUUACUCAUGGAGCUGAAGUCAGUCGAAGAUACCAGCUGGCUGCAACUGUUUAUUAAAAACACAGCACUGUGCAAACACGAAAGUGGACGUAUACGGUGUGACGCCUGCCCGGUGCCGGAAGGUUAAUUGAUGGGGUCAGCGCAAGCGAAGCUCCUGAUCGAAGCCCCGGUAAACGGCGGCCGUAACUAUAACGGUCCUAAGGUAGCGAAAUUCCUUGUCGGGUAAGUUCCGACCUGCACGAAUGGCGUAAUGAUGGCCAGGCUGUCUCCACCCGAGACUCAGUGAAAUUGAACUCGCUGUGAAGAUGCAGUGUACCCGCGGCAAGACGGAAAGACCCCGUGAACCUUUACUAUAGCUUGACACUGAACAUUGAGCCUUGAUGUGUAGGAUAGGUGGGAGGCUUUGAAGUGUGGACGCCAGUCUGCAUGGAGCCGACCUUGAAAUACCACCCUUUAAUGUUUGAUGUUCUAACGUGGACCCGUUACCCGGGUUGCGGACAGUGUCUGGUGGGUAGUUUGACUGGGGCGGUCUCCUCCUAAAGAGUAACGGAGGAGCACGAAGGUUGGCUAAUCCUGGUCGGACAUCAGGAGGUUAGUGCAAUGGCAUAAGCCAGCUUGACUGCGAGCGUGACGGCGCGAGCAGGUGCGAAAGCAGGUCAUAGUGAUCCGGUGGUUCUGAAUGGAAGGGCCAUCGCUCAACGGAUAAAAGGUACUCCGGGGAUAACAGGCUGAUACCGCCCAAGAGUUCAUAUCGACGGCGGUGUUUGGCACCUCGAUGUCGGCUCAUCACAUCCUGGGGCUGAAGUAGGUCCCAAGGGUAUGGCUGUUCGCCAUUUAAAGUGGUACGCGAGCUGGGUUUAGAACGUCGUGAGACAGUUCGGUCCCUAUCUGCCGUGGGCGCUGGAGAACUGAGGGGGGCUGCUCCUAGUACGAGAGGACCGGAGUGGACGCAUCACUGGUGUUCGGGUUGUCAUGCCAAUGGCACUGCCCGGUAGCUAAAUGCGGAAGAGAUAAGUGCUGAAAGCAUCUAAGCACGAAACUUGCCCCGAGAUGAGUUCUCCCUGAGACUUAGAGUCUCCUGAAGGAACGUUGAAGACGACGACGUUGAUAGGCCGGGUGUGUAAGCGCAGCGAUGCGUUGAGCUAACCGGUACUAAUGAACCGUGAGGCUUAACCUUACAACGCCGAAG
rnacentral:rRNA from 1 species